rnacentral:rRNA from 1 species
AGCAGUAGCCACGGGAAUACGAAGGGGGCUAGCGUUGCUCGGAAUGACUGGGCGUAAAGGGCGCGUAGGCGGCGAUCUAAGUCAGGCGUGAAAUUCCUGGGCUCAACCUGGGGGCUGCGCCUGAUACUUGGUUGCUUGAGUGGGGAAGAGGGUCGUGGAAUUCCCAGUGUAGAGGUGAAAUUCGUAGAUAUUGGGAAGAACACCGGUGGCGAAGGCGGCGACCUGGUCCUUGACUGACGCUGAGGCGCGAAAGCGUGGGGAGCAAACAGGAUUAGAUACCCCAGUAGUCCCUGUCUCUUAUAC